rnacentral:rRNA from 1 species
GACGAACGCUGGCGGCGUGCUUAACACAUGCAAGUCGAACGGUAAGGCCCUUUCGGGGGUCCACGAGUGGCGAACGGGUGAGUAACACGUGGGUGAUCUGCCCUGCACUUUGGGAUAAGCCUGGGAAACUGGGUCUAAUACCGGAUAGGACUACGCGAUGCAUGUCGUGUGGUGGAAAGCUUUUGCGGUGUGGGAUGGGCCCGCGGCCUAUCAGCUUGUUGGUGGGGUGAUGGCCUACCAAGGCGACGACGGGUAGCCGGCCUGAGAGGGUGUCCGGCCACACUGGGACUGAGAUACGGCCCAGACUCCUACGGGAGGCAGCAGUGGGGAAUAUUGCACAAUGGGCGCAAGCCUGAUGCAGCGACGCCGCGUGGGGGAUGACGGCCUUCGGGUUGUAAACCCCUUUCAGCACAGACGAAGCGUAAGUGACGGUAGGUGCAGAAGAAGCACCGGCCAACUACGUG